ACGGACUGUAACCUUGCAGCUCAUUGUAGAACUUUCGGUUUAAAUUUUAUUUAUAUUUAUUUUAUUUUUUUGAGGUUAAAUCUACAUUUGAACUUAUUUGGUGUCAAGAUUUUCUUUUUUAAUGAUUGAUUUAAGAAAAAAUUUGCUAGAGCCUUCUUAGAAGAAUAUCUUUAAUUAAGAUGAGUUAUCAGCUUGGAGGACUUUGAAGCAUGCUUGUGCUGAUUUUUUUUUUUGAUGAAGGAAUUAAGUAGUAGAUUUAUGUAAGGCAGGAUUACAAAAGAUUUUAUUGAUUGGAAAUCGUCGCAAUUAAAGGAGCACUAAUAGGAGAUCUCGGAAACCAUCGCAACAGUCCUAGAUCCACCAAAAAACGUCGAGAUUCAGGUGGUCGAGCUGGAAAAAUUGGUCAAAAAUAUGUGCAAAAAUAAAAACUGUUAAAUCAUCAACUUCCUAAUCUCAACAUUCGAGUGGCCAGUUAUUGCAAAAUGCUGAUGGUCCAAUUUUUAUAUUCAAAACCUAAGAAGGCGAGAGUAGAGUUGUAUCUUCAAGUCAACAUAAUGGAGCCAACUAUGAAUAAAUAUUGGCUUCAUUAAGUAAACCGAAUGAUCUACGUUAAAUUAUUUAUUUUUUUUUGCUCGAUUUCUAAUGACAUUAAGCUGGAUUGCUAAUGACAUUACGCCAAGAUAUGACAAGUAGUACGAAAUUAAUGGAUCAAAACAUGCAACUUUAUGAAAAUGUAUUAGAAGAAUAAUUUACUCGUCAGGACUUGGGUGUUUUUCAGUGUCUCACUUGCACUGCAGCGACAUUCAUUAUCUUAAAUGUUGUAGCGUGAGAAAAAAAUCUCAUAGCCCAUGUCCUGAAAGGUUUAUCAACAAGAUUUUCUAGAUGCAUCUAGACAUGUUGGAAUCUUAGGAGCUCAAGGAGUUGGAAAAUCGACUUUUCUAUCACUUUUUUCUUUAAAUUAUGGAUCAGAACUAUUAACUAUAAAAAUGUCAUCUCAUCUUACAAAUGGAUAAAAUUUUAGCAGUUAAUUAGAUUUUAAUGUAACAAAAAAUCCUGUUCUUAUUUAGAUACGCCGCCAAUUCUUUCAAGUUCUACAAUGACAUCAACUUCUUUAUUUUUUUUGACUUCUUAAUUUUUUUUUUUUAAUUGAUGUAUGCAUAUACCUAUAGAAAUUAACGUUAUUUUUUAGAAAUUUACUGUACAAGACACUUUUAAUGAUCAUGUAUCAAGCUUUAUUUUGAAAACUAUUCAUAAAAAUAUUCUUUUCUAAUUUAGAUAACAUGAAAGCCGCAUUUAACUUAAACAAUGUUUAAAAAAUCUGCAAAAGUAAUUCAUUGAAGAAAGAAGAAAAGAAAUCUAUCAAAGUUGAGUAAUCAGCGAGCGUUUUACAAAAAAUUGCUUACUAAAUAGUAUAUUUGGUACUAUUAAAUAAAUACACUUCUCACAAAAAUUAAGGGAGCAAGAAAAAAAUCCAAAUUUUUAGGGGAUUUUCAACAGGCUGUAACUUCUAGAAAAAUGAUCGUACAGCAAAUAAAAAAAAAGCAAAUUGUAGUUCUGAGUGUGUAGUUUUCGGAUCUGAGUUUGUAAAUUUUUUUUCGAGUAA
rnacentral:lncRNA from 1 species